rnacentral:rRNA from 1 species
AUACGUAGGGGACGAGCGUUGUCCGGAAUUACUGGGCGUAAAGGGCGCGCAGGCGGAUAUUUAAGUCAGCUGUAAAAGGCAUGAGCUCAACUCAUGUAUGCGGUUGAAACUGGGUAUCUAGAGUGCUGGAGAGGUAGGCGGAAUUCCCGGUGUAGCGGUGAAAUGCGUAGAUAUCGGGAAGAACACCAGUGGCGAAGGCGGCUUACUGGUCAGCAACUUACGCUGAGGCGCGAAAGCCGGGGGAGCGAACGGGAUUAGAUACCCCGGUAGUCCUGGCAGUAAACGAUGUAUGCGGGGUGGGGGAGUAGCGAUACCUCCGGGUCGAAGGUAACGCGAUAAGCAUACCGGCUGGGGAGUACGGUCGCAAGAUUGAAACUUAAAGGAAUUGGCGGGG